UACGUAGGGGGCAAGCGUUGUCCGGAUUUAUUGGGCGUAAAGAGCGUGUAGGCGGCCAUGUAGGUCCGUUGUGAAAACUCGAGGCUCAACCUCGAGACGCCGAUGGAAACCAUGUGGCUAGAGUCCGGAAGAGGAGAGUGGAAUUCCUGGUGUAGCGGUGAAAUGCGCAGAUAUCAGGAAGAACACCCGUGGCGAAGGCGGCUCUCUGGGACGGUACUGACGCUGAGACGCGAAAGCGUGGGGGAGCGAACAGG
rnacentral:rRNA from 1 species